GCAGCUAUGUACACUACCACA
rnacentral:miRNA from 1 species